AUUGAACGCUGGCGGCAUGCUUUACACAUGCAAGUCGAACGGCAGCGCGGGCUUCGGCCUGGCGGCGAGUGGCGAACGGGUGAGUAAUACAUCGGAACGUGCCCAGUAGUGGGGGAUAGCUCGGCGAAAGCCGGAUUAAUACCGCAUACGACCUGAGGGUGAAAGCGGGGGAUCUUCGGACCUCGCGCUAUUGGAGCGGCCGAUGGCAGAUUAGCUAGUUGGUGGGGUAAAGGCCUACCAAGGCGACGAUCUGUAGCUGGUCUGAGAGGACGACCAGCCACAUUGGGACUGAGACACGGCCCAGACUCCUACGGGAGGCAGCAGUGGGGAAUUUUGGACAAUGGGCGAAAGCCUGAUCCAGCAAUGCCGCGUGUGUGAUGAAGGCCUUCGGGUUGUAAAGCACUUUUGGCGGGAACGAAAAGGACUGUGCCAAUACCACGGUUCGAUGACGGUACCCGCAGAAUAAGCACCGGCUAACUACGU
rnacentral:rRNA from 1 species